GUGGGGAAUAUUGGGCAAUGGGCGCAAGCCUGACCCAGCAACGCCGCGUGAGGGAAGAAGGCUUUCGGGUUGUAAACCUCUGUCCUUGGUGACGAAGAAAGUGACGGUAGCCAAGGAGGAAGCCCCGGCUAACUACGUGCCAGCAGCCGCGGUAAUACGUAGGGGGCGAGCGUUGUCCGGAAUUACUGGGCGUAAAGGGUGCGUAGGUGGCCUUUUAAGUUGGAUGUGAAAUACCCGGGCUUAACUUGGGGGGUGCAUCUAAUACUGGGAGGCUAGAGUGCAGGAGAGGGAAGCGGAAUUCCUAGUGUAGCGGUGAAAUGCGUAGAUAUUAGGAGGAACACCAGUGGCGAAGGCGGCUUUCUGGACUGUAACUGACACUGAGGCACGAAAGCGUGGGGAGCAAACAGGAUUAGAUACCCGAGUAGUCC
rnacentral:rRNA from 1 species